UCUUGCCAAUGGGAAAUGGAAUGCUGGUAAUUUAUAGGAAGUGACCUCACAAUGACCCAAGCUCCUGUUUGUUGAUUGUGAUGAAAUGCAUGCUGAGGCACAUGCCUUGGGAGCUAAGUGGCAGCUAUACUUCACUACUAUGGCAGUAAAGAUGACUAUAAAGACUGGCGGGGGAUGGAUCCUUUCAAAUGUACCUGAGCUGGGAUGCCCAGCUUGUGGAACGCACAGCAGGAGAAGGAACAUCUGAAGGAACACCUGAUGAGGCUGCACCCUUGGCGGAAAGAACACCUGACAUGGCUGAAAGCUUGGUGGAAAAACCACCUGAUGAGGCUGCACCCUUGGUGGAGGGAACAGCUGACAAAAUUCAAUGUUUGGGGAAAGCAACAUCUGGAAAGUUUGAACAGUCAGCAGAAGAAACACCUAAGAAAAUUAUGAGGACUGCAAAAGAAACAUCUAAGAAAUUUGCAUGGCCAGCAAAAGAAAGACCUAGGAAGAUCACAUGGGAGGAAAAAUAAACAUCUGUAAAGACUGAAUGCGUGGCAGGAGUAAUACCUAAUAAAACUGAAGUUUUGGAAAAAGGAACAUCUAAGAUGCUCACGUGUCCUACAAAAGAAACAUCUACAAAAGCAAGUACAAAUGUGGAUGUGAGUUCUGUAGAGUCUAUAUUCAGGAAUCCUGUCGACUUGAAUUUUGUAGUUUCUUUCUUCACUUCUCCUGUAAAUACUGGAUCCUGCUUGACAAUCAUAGAUAGUCUCACCCUGUCACCCAGGCUGGAAUGCAAUGGCACGAUCUCGGCUCACUGCAACCUCCACCUCCCAGGUUCAAGCGAUUCUCCUGCCUCAGCCUCCCGAGUAUCUGGGAGUACAGGCAUGCGCCUCCACGCCCAGCUAAUUUUUGUAUUUUUAGUAGAGACGGAGUUUCACCAUGUUGCCCAGGCUGGGCUCAAACUCCUGACCUCAUGAUCCACCCGCCUCGGCCUCCUAAAAUGCUGGGACUACAGGCGUAAGCCACUGCACCUGGCCCGAUUUCACUUUCAAAAAUUCAACAGUCUGCAUAGGUUACUUAAUUCUACCCAUUUAGCCUAUCUUAUAAAUAUUUAUCUUAUCACUAUGUAAUUUUCCUCAUGUAGGUCAUCUACUCAUACUCCAAAUGUAUUUAUCCAGAUCUUUCUUCCAAGCCCCUUGGGUGCCCCAAAUCUUAUAGGUCUCAAACUGAAAGCAUCAUUUUUAUUCUGUUCCUGUUUUCUGACUCUUCGUAAUCUACUCUGUCAUCUGGUUUCCCCAUCCUAGGAAAUAACACCUAGGAAGUAGCGGUGAAACACUCAAGCACUUAAACCUGCACUUCAACCCUCCCCCACAUCCUAAACUUCAACCCUUUUCCAUGUCACCCAUCCAGUCACACACCUAAUUUUGUAUUUUCUACCUUCUUAUAAUUUUCCAUAUCUUAUUACCAUAAUUAACUCUCUACCUAUAAUUUUGAAGUACUCCUUUCUAGUUUUGCCCCAUCUCCCCAUGUUCAUCUAUCUUUACAUCGCUGGAAGGGUCACCUUUCUAAAAUGUAUUUGUAAUGAUGUAACUCAUCUGCAUAUUGAGUGAAUACCCAUUACACGAAGGGGUAAGUUCACAUUCUAGCGUGACACAUAUCUUAUAUGGUUUGGCCCCAUUUUAUCUCUUCAUCUCUUUCCUCUGUGUUCCAGUUUUACGACAUCACCUUGGCACCCCUCAAUUGCCAUGUUGUUUCAUGCCUUAUUAUUUUACACAUGCUAUUGCACCUAGAGUCUUUGUAUCCUGACUCUGCACUUUGUCUGUCCUUCCCAAUAUGGCCCCAUUAUGGCAGCAUUUUCUAUGCUUUUCAGAUAAAACUGAUUGUUCUCUCCUUUGUGCCCUUAUGUAUUAUAUUGACUUAAAUUGUAGAACUGGUGAAUUAUACUUUUCUGUUCUUAUUUGUUUUCACGUCUCUAACAUUUCUUGAAUAUAGGCCAGAAUCUAUCUUCUGUGUAUAUUUCCUGCUUCUCCCAGGAUAGUGCCUGUGAUUCGAUAGAUACAAUGUAUGGGUUUUUUUGUUUGUGUUUUGUUUUGUCUUACUGACAAAUUGAGUGAAUGAGUGAAUAAAUAAAGUUUUUUCUGAAGUUGUUUUUUGGUGCUUUUUGGUUUUUGUUUGUAAUAGAAGGAAGCAACAAAGACAGCAACUGAACAACAAGAAAAUGAUAUUGGAAUUAUUGAAUGAGCGCCAUAAGAUCUAACAAAUAAGAUGCCCACAUCAGAGUCAGGACAAAAAGAAGAUACGAAAUCACCUUCAGUUUCUGAGACAGAUUCAACUAGCCUAUCAAUAUUCUUGGGUGCAGUUCCUUCUCAUGAAAGAGCAAGGGAACUUAAAAAAUAUCACUGUGAACAACUUACAGCAAAAAUAAAACAAAUGAAAAAUAAGUUUUGGGUACUACAAAAGGAACUAUCAGAAGCAAAAAUAAAAUUGCAGUAAGUGAAUCAAAAGGUUAAAUGGGAACAAGAGCUCUGCAGUGUGAGCUUGGAAUGAAGUUGAUAAUAGUGAGACCUUGUUGGUACAAGACUAUGUAACACAACCUGCACUUCUCAACAAAAAAUUGCUUUUCUGACUUCUGCACUCAGUAGGUAUCUUUGGAAAAUAAUCUCCUAUUGGUACUGAGGCACCCUGGCUAAGUUUUGUAAUUCUUGUUGACAUUUGUUCGUGGUGCCAGAAAAGUAUUAUUAAGUAUUAUUAACUAUUCUAAAGAUAGUUACUUUUCUUUAAGACAGAGUCUCGCUCUGUCACCCAGGCUGGAGUGCAGUGGCAUAAUCUCGGCUCACUGCAAGCUCCACCUCCCGGGUUCAUGCCAUUCUCCUGUCUCAGCCUCCCGAGUAGCUGGAACUACAGGUACCCACCACCAAGCCCAGCUAAUUUUUUUGUAUUUUUAGUAGAGACAGGGUUUCACCAUGUUAGCCAGGAUGGUCUCAAUCUCCUAACCUUGUGAUCCACCCACCUCGGCCUUCCAAAGUCCUGGGAUUACAGGCGUGAGCCACUGCGCCUGGCCAAGAUAGUUACUUUCUUAGUGACACAAGUCACUAUGUCACAAAGUUGAUCCUUGAAUAAGGGUUUUCACUGUAGGAGCCCACUAACAGACAGAUUUUUCUUUUCCUUUGGCACUGCAAGAUAGCAAGACAAAUCUCUCCUCUGCCUCCUCAUCAGACUACUCAAUGUGAAGGCAAUAAGAAUGAAAACCUUUAUGUAUAAUAAUUCACUUCCACUUAAUAAAUAGUGAAUAUAUUUUUUCCUCCUUGUA
rnacentral:lncRNA from 1 species